UCCCUCGAACCGGACCGCAACCCUGUCC
rnacentral:sRNA from 1 species